CGGCCCCUAAGGCGAGGCAGAGAUGCGUAGCUGAUGGGAAGCAGGUUAAUAUUCCUGCACCGUCGUAUGAUGCGAUGGGGGGACGGAUCGCGGAAGGUUGUCUGACUGUUGGAAUAGUCAGUUUCUGGUUCAUAGAAGGCGCUUAGGCAAAUCCGGGCGCAGGAUUCAAGGGACUGGGACGAGGCACUUAGGUGCUGAAGCAAUCGGAAGUGGUUCCAAGAAAAGCCUCUAAGCUUCAGUCAUACGAGACCGUACCGCAAACCGACACAGGUGGGCGAGAUGAGUAUUCUAAGGCGCUUGAGAGAACUCGGGAG
rnacentral:rRNA from 1 species